rnacentral:rRNA from 1 species
UGGGGAAUUUUGGACAAUGGGCGCAAGCCUGAUCCAGCCAUUCCGCGUGCAGGAUGAAGGCCCUCGGGUUGUAAACUGCUUUUGGACGGAACGAAAAGCCGCUUUCUAAUACAGAGCGGUCAUGACGGUAACGUCAGAAUAAGCACCGGCUAACUACGUGCCAGCAGCCGCGGUAAUACGUAGGGUGCAAGCGUUAAUCGGAAUUACUGGGCGUAAAGCGUGCGCAGGCGGUUAUGCAAGACAGAUGUGAAAUCCCCGGGCUCAACCUGGGAACUGCAUUUGUGACUGCAUAGCUAGAGUACGGUAGAGGGGGAUGGAAUUCCGCGUGUAGCAGUGAAAUGCGUAGAUAUGCGGAGGAACACCGAUGGCGAAGGCAAUCCCCUGGACCUGUACUGACGCUCAUGCACGAAAGCGUGGGGAGCAAA